UUCUGGUUGAUCCUGCCGGAGGCUACCGCUAUUGGAGUUCGAUUAAGCCAUGCGAGUCGAGAGUCUUAGGGACUCGGCGUACCGCUCAGUAACACGUGGGUAACCUGCCCUAUGCUGGGGAAUAACCUCGGGAAACUGAGAAUAAUACCCCAUAGUUCACCACGCCUGGAACGGUGGGUGGAUGAAAGCUCCGGCGGCAUAGGAUGGGCCUGCGACGUAUCAGGUUGUAGGGGGUGUAACGUACCCUCUAGCCAUCAACGCGUACGGGUGUUGGGAGACAUAGCCCGGAGAUGGAUUCUGAGACACGAAUCCAGACCCUACGGGGUGCAGCAGGCGCGAAAACUUGGCAAUGCGAGCAAUCGUGACCAGGGAACUCCAAGUGGCUGGGGUAAUACCCAGUUUUUUCUUGACUCUUCAAAGGUCUUGGAAUAAGGGGUGGGUAAGGACGGUGCCAGCCGCCGCGGUAAUACCGGCGCCUCAAGUGGUAGUCGCUUUUAUUGGGCCUAAAACGUCCGUAGCCGGUCUGGUGCAUUCGUGGGUAAAUCAACCCGCUCAACGGGUUGAAUUCUGCGAGCACGGCCAGACUUGGGACCGGGAGAGGUGUGGGGUACUCUCAGGGUAGGGGUAAAAUCCUGUCAUCCUGAGAGGACCACCUGUUGCGAAGGCGCCACACUAGAACGGAUUCGACGGUC
rnacentral:rRNA from 1 species